GGAAUUUUCCGCAAUGGGCGAAAGCCUGACGGAGCAACGCCGCGUGAGGGAUGAAGGCCUCUGGGCUGUAAACCUCUUUUAUCGAGGAAGAAGAUCUGACGGUACUUGAUGAAUAAGCCACGGCUAAUUCCGUGCCAGCAGCCGCGGUAAUACGGGAGUGGCAAGCGUUAUCCGGAAUUAUUGGGCGUAAAGCGUCCGCAGGCGGUCUGUCAAGUCUGCUGUUAAAGCGUGGAGCUUAACUCCAUUUCGGCAGUGGAAACUGACAGACUAGAGUGUGGUAGGGGCAGAGGGAAUUCCCGGUGUAGCGGUGAAAUGCGUAGAUAUCGGGAAGAACACCAGUGGCGAAGGCGCUCUGCUGGGCCAUAACUGACGCUCAUGGACGAAAGCCAGGGGAGCGAAAGGGAUUAGAUACCCCAGUAGUC
rnacentral:rRNA from 1 species